rnacentral:tRNA from 1 species
GCCGGGAUAGCUCAGUUGGUAGAACAGAAGACUGAAAAUCCUCGUGUCACCAGUUCAA